AGUGACUCUGUUCAACGGCCGCGGUAUCCUAACCGUGCGAAGGUAGCGUAAUCACUUGUUCUUUAAAUGAGGACUAGUAUGAACGGCACCACGAGGGUUAUACUGUCUCCUUUUUUUAAUCAGUGAAACUAAUCUCCCCGUGAAGAAGCGAGGAUAAAAUUAUAAGACGAGAAGACCCUAUGGAGCUUUAAACAACACAGCAUUUGUUAAAAAAUUAAAAUAUUUCAGAAUAAUUUAACUUCUAUAAACAAUAUAACUGUAAGUUUUCGGUUGGGGUGACCACGGAGCAUAACAUAACCUCCAUGUUGAAAAAAAUAUUUUUAAACCAAGAACCACCAAUCUAAGCAUCAACAUAUUGACAUCCAUUGACCCAAUAUACUUGACCAACGAACCAAGUUACCCUAGGGAUAACAGCGCAAUCUACUUCAAGAGCUCCUAUCGACAAGUAGGUUUACGACCUCGAUGUUGGAUCAGGGUAUCCCAGUGGUGCAGCCGCUACUAAAGGUUUGUUUGUUCAACAAUUAAAACCCUACGUGAUCU
rnacentral:rRNA from 1 species